rnacentral:lncRNA from 1 species
UUUUUUGAAAAGUCAUUUUUUGAAGUGACCUGUCGAAAUCAAGUUCAAAUGUUUUGAAAAAAUCAAAAUGUUGUAAUUCUUGCGCACAUAGCCGUCAUAUGUGACAAGGUUAUGAGAAAAAAAUAUAAACUUGGUGUAGGUCAUUUUCAUGAAAAAAGCCUUCACAAAAAUGAGCUAUCACCUAUGAACAUUUUCAGAGUUUAGGGUUUAGGAAGAGAGGGUUUAGG